GUUUAGUAUUAUUGAGCGCGUUAUUAAUUAUCCUACACAAUGUGAAUUCCUCAUUGAAACAAUUAUUGUGAUAGAAUUUCAAUUAUUGCAUUGAAUUUGGGUUUUUACUCUUGAGUUUAAUUAAUUUCUUUUUAAAAGUAAAAGUUUGAUAACAAUUUUUUAUUAACUGCAUUAUUAAAUUUUGACUCUGAUAGUUUAGAUAAAUUAUACUACUUAAUUAAUAUUCAAAAAUUGUUGCAGAGUCGCUUUUUGUGGGACAACG
rnacentral:misc_RNA from 1 species